GUGGCUGGGCCGAGUGGUGAAGGCGAUAGACUUCAAAUCUUUUGGGAUCUUCCCGCGAAGGUUCGAAUCCGGCUGAUAACG
rnacentral:tRNA from 1 species